UUUUUUUACUCGUGCCUAUGGCACACAAACUCACAUGAUAAACACUUCCCCCACACUUAUUUUCUGCCCACAUUAAUCAAAAGGAAUUCAAUUUGAAUCAUGCUUACUAUACUUUAAGAACGAGGGUAUGGAUAGUCCUAAUCUAGGCUAGGUGAGGAUGAUGUGGGUUAACAAAGAAAAGGCUAAACAAGGUUCAAUGGGGUUAAAUUUAAACACAUAAUGAAAUAGGAUACACGACAAUUUGGCUUUGGUGGUGGUCACUACACAACUUCAUCUUGAAUAUGUGUUAUGCAAAUCAAUAGCAUGCUUUGAAUGAAAUGGGCAUGAGUUCUAGCAUUUGGAACUACAUGAUAAAACGCCUUCUAAGUAGUGACCAAUCAAAGAAUAAUGAGAUCAUGCAACGACUUUAGAAGACAACAAAUGCACAGAUUAUUAACUCUCCAAAGAACGUUAAAAGCUCAAGUCUCUCAGGGUUGUAGCGUUAGUUUGAGUUUCUUCCUUCAAGCAUGUUACAAAAACUAAUUUUUCUUUUGACUACAUGUGAAUUCAUGAACUAUAAUUACAACUAAGCAUAAACCAAAGAGCAUGUCAAACUUUCAUCCAUGUUUGUAACUUUCUUUAACGGUCAUGCAAUUAAAAACCAAAUCCUCAUCAUUGUGUUGGAAGGUACUCUAAGACACAAACACACAAAAACAACUUUAAAACAACUCUUUUUGGGUUUUUUUUUUCAAAACUUUUUUAAAUUUUUUUCUUGAAUUUUCGGAUUUUCUGGUAAAGCCACAUAAAAACACAUGAAAACAUUCUAAAAACACUUAAAAACAAUGAAAAAACAACCUUUGAAAUGUUAGGUGGUAAAAUCCUAUGAAUUUGACACAAAAACACUUUGUUUACCCCCCCCACACUUAAACCAAACAUUGUCCUCAAUGUUUCAAACAUAGACUCACACAAAAACAAGCAAAUAACAAAACUAGCAAAUAAGACAAAUAUGGCAAAGUAAAAGCAAAAAAAAAAAAAAAAAAAAAAGAGUAGGGUUUAGGAACGCAAAUCUGGUUGUGAUGCCGGAGCUUCCUAGGUCAUCUUUAUUCGCAUGGGUUGCCUCCCACGAAGCGCUUGCUUUAACGUCUUGCAGCUGGACGAUGCUUCUCUUUACGCUCCCCUAGGUCCCAUAGCAUAAAAUUGAUCCUUGAAUGGAAGGUGAUACUUGAAAUGAUCCACCAAAGGUUUCAAUUCUAAAGUGGGUGCCUGAAUCAUUAACAACAUGUAAGUAUAAAACGUAAUGGAAAUUGGAGAAGAUAACUUACUUGCUUUGUCCGACAGGAACACCACUUCUUGGAAAGAUUCAGGGAUAUUGGAUUCGACUAGAUUGAAUGUGAUGGUUGGGACUUGCCCCGUGUCAUAAAAUUCAACGUCUUUUGGCUUCGUUGUCUCAAAUACGUCCUUUUUGAUGAAUUCUUGAUAUUCUCUAGCCACUACUGUCUCUUGAAUCAUUCUUCUUGGUGUACAAAGUCCCUUGAACAAUUCAACACAAUCUGGAACUUGCUUUGUUGCACCAAGAAUUGGAAUAUCACUUUGCACCUUUGGAAGAGCUUCCACAAUGUCUUUUUCACUCUCUUUGAUAUUUGGAAUCAAAAACCUACAAGGAAAAAUGACAUUUGGUGGAAUAAUGUUAGAAUGAAGUGGAUUUAGAACUUCCUCACCUGAGUUGGAUGACAUAGGGAUUUGAGGAGCUUGCAGCAAGAAUUCUUCUAAACUGCCCAGGUCGUCCUCCUCCUCUUCUGCUUGCAGCAGCAAUUCAUCCAUGUUCGGGCUGUGUUUGGAUAGUUCUGGGACAGCUUCAUCCUUCAUGUCACCUUCCAAAGUGAUAGCAUCAUGGAUUUCAAAAUCUUCCUUCGAAUUUUCAACAGUUGAGCUGGAUAGUUCACUUUGCUCUUGAAUUUGUACCAUGAAUUCCAUAAUCUCUCCCAUUUGACUCAUCAAUUUAUCCACUUUCUUGUCUUGAUUUUGUUGGUCAUGCGUCAAAGAGGUUAGUACUUGAAGAAUUUGAUCACUAUCCAUGGACAUACUUGAAUUUGAUUGGAAUUGUUGUGGGGUAUGCGGUGGUGGCUGCAUAGGCGUUAAAUAAAACUCCUCAGAUUGCUGCCAAUAUCCAUCAUGUUGAACUUGUUGAGCUUCCCACCACAUAGAGUUUGAAUGAUCACUCCAAUCUUUUUGUGAACAUUGAUUGGCUUGAUAUCCUUGCCUAUAAUAUGCACCAAAUAUAGGGACAUUUUGCAUUGUGGUCCUUUCGGCAUACUGCGACAUUUGAGAAGUAAGAUUUUCCAAUUGAGCUUGAAUGCUAGCAAAAUCCAUGUCUUACUUCUCUAGUACCUAAAAUCAAAGAAAGAAAACUAAAUCAAAUAUCAAAAGUAAAAUAAACAAAACAAAACAAAAACAGAAACUAAAAACAAAAGACAAGAAAAGAAACAAAGUCAGUAACUAAAACAAAAGACACGAAAAAGAAAUAAAAAGAAACAAUGGGGGAUUAGCAAAGUUGCUAAUCCCCGGCAACGGCGCCAAAAAUUUGAUGCGAAAUAUAUAAGCACACAAAUUUAACCCUCUUUUUGACAAUUGUAGUAUAGAUGUAAGUAGGGAUCGUUCUAAACCGGGGAUUAGGAGGGAUUGCUAAAUCACUUGAAAACUAAUUUAAAACAUAAAAACAAAGUAAAAAAUGUAAACAAAAGAUUUUAAAACAAGAAAGUAAAAGGGGGAUUUGAGUUUGGUGAAGUUGAAAGUAAAAACGAAUAAACUAAAAACUUAAAUAGAUUUUAAACAAAUUUGGGUUGAAUGGAUAAUGGAAGGCUAGCUAAGGGGUUCUUCUCCACACAUGUCUUGCUUGCAUACAAAAUGAUUUCCAAUUGCAUUUCAAUAACUUAUUAAUUCUCAACGCCCCAAAUUAACCGUGAAUUGCACUAAUUAACCCUCAGUUUUUCCACAAGUUAUUGGGUUGGAUGAUUGCAUACGACAACCCAAAACAUUCCCUACAAGUUCCCUACAUGAAUUGCAUAAUAGAGAUACAAGCAAGAAUCAUUAAGUUCUAUGAAAAACAUAAGCAUUGACGAGGCACUCGUUACUAUGAUUUGCAUGAAACUUAUGCCAAUGAUUUACUUAACACAAUCGUGACUAGCGACUUUUACUACUCAUGAAUAUAAGUUCAUAACGAUUAGGUGAAAUUCCCUUAUACUCUAGCAUCAUAUUUAUGCAUGCAAACUAAGUAUGCAUCCCUAAUCAACAUACAUAAACAUGUUAUCAAUCAAAUAGAUAAGUAAAUCGAAUUCAUAACUUAUGAAACGCAAUUAAAAGUAAUCAAAUCAUAUUGCAAGCAUUAACAUGGUUUCGAAUCCCCCCCUAGCCAAGGGGGGUUUAGUUCCUCAUUAUUACAAAACAAAGAUAAACAAAUUUAAAUAUUGAAAAACAAAGGAAAGAAAGCACCUAAACGUUCCAACGAUCCAUGUUGGAUAGCAAGUGCGUCUAAGGACUUUUCUCCUUCUCUUUUGCCGCAACAACAAGGUUGGAAUGAUGUUGAAGGGUUGGUUAUUUGGAGGAAUGGAUGGGAAGGGGUUUAGAUAUGUAGGAGAGGCAAGGAAAGGCUUGGAGAAUGGUUAAUUUCUGGAUGAUUUGAAUGAGGUUGAUGCCAUGGUAUUUAUAGGAAGAGGAUGGACUUGUUUAACACAAAAUGUUGGUGGAAUUGAGUAGGUGAGCAUGGCAAAGAGUGGGAAUUGUUGGUGGGUUAGGUAUUGAGUCAUCCACUCACAUGUCAUGGUUAGCUAAGCAUUGCAUCAUCCACUCACAUGUCAUGGUGAGCUAAGCAUUGCAUCAUCCACUCACAUGUCAUGGUGAGUUAAGAAUUGCAUCAUUACUCAAAUUUCUGGUGGAGGGUGGAAGUAAAAGCCACGGCAUUGAUGUGUUUUGAGUGAAGUUUUGGCCAAUCCUUCUAGAAAUUUAUCCCUUCUUGCAACUUGUAUUUUGUUUCACCAGAUUUUUAGCAUGUUCUUAGCCUCUUUUGUCUUCAAAUUCGUCCAUCCAUCUUGCUCAUAUCAUAUGUAAUCCAUUCCAAGCUCAAAACUGCUCCAAAAUGCACCAAAAUGCACUUUCUUGCUACCUUAGCCCUUUGGACCUACAAACACACGAAAAUGGCUUAAAGUACUAAAAUAACUAAGAACUAAUAACGUAAAUGCAAGAAAACUAGUUAACUAAGUCGCAUAAAUAUGCGUCUAUCAAAUUCCCCCACACUUAGCUUUUGCUAGUCCUCGAGCAAAAUAAAACAAACAAAACAUAACCUAACCUUCCAACAUUUGCUACAGGGAUUUCCAACGAUACAUAACAUGCCAAAGAUCAUUAUUCCCACAGAUUUUAGUCAUCCCUACUCUUGAGCAUAUACUUAAUCAUAGUUACCAUUCACUAGCUCACAUUUAAUCGUUUAAAACAACAUUAUGGACGUAGUAACAUGCCUUAGAGAAUCCACUCAAUUCCUUACUGGAUACACUCUUAUUUUCACACAGAUUUUCUAACUACUCUCCCUAUACUAAGUAUAUGUGAGAAGAUUGAUGUAAACAUGGAAACGAACACUCACACAUGUUAUAAAAGAAGCAAUUUUCUGGAAUGAUUAAGCAUUUAUAGAUAUGAUCUCAUGAAUGGAACGCUACUACUUAGAUGCGAGAACCAGGGACACCAUAUGCUCAAACCAAUCCCAAACUCCACAUAUUGAAAUACAUAACACUCAAGAUAGAAGUUAAGGGUUGUAACGGGGCUUGGGGAAUGGUUAACAAAGAAAGGAUAGGGAAAACAAACGUUCUUCAAGCAUUAGUAAGCAAAGUAGUAAAUUUGAGACUUAGAAUUCACUUAGAUUGCAGAAAUUAACUUUAAAACACAAAGGGAAGAUUUAAACAACUUCUUAGGGCCGAAUUCAUUGUUUUGGACCCUUUCUUCAACAAACAAUAUUUUGGAACUCUUUUUUUCUUUUUCUUUUUUGUUUUUUUUACUCGUGCCUAUGGCACACAAACUCACAUGAUAAACACUUCCCCCACACUUAUUUUCUGCCCACAUUAAUCAAAAGGAAUUCAAUUUGAAUCAUGCUUACUAUACUUUAAGAACGAGGGUAUGGAUAGUCCUAAUCUAGGCUAGGUGAGGAUGAUGUGGGUUAACAAAGAAAAGGCUAAACAAGGUUCAAUGGGGUUAAAUUUAAACACAUAAUGAAAUAGGAUACACGACAAUUUGGCUUUGGUGGUGGUCACUACACAACUUCAUCUUGAAUAUGUGUUAUGCAAAUCAAUAGCAUGCUUUGAAUGAAAUGGGCAUGAGUUCUAGCAUUUGGAACUACAUGAUAAAACGCCUUCUAAGUAGUGACCAAUCAAAGAAUAAUGAGAUCAUGCAACGACUUUAGAAGACAACAAAUGCACAGAUUAUUAACUCUCCAAAGAACGUUAAAAGCUCAAGUCUCUCAGGGUUGUAGCGUUAGUUUGAGUUUCUUCCUUCAAGCAUGUUACAAAAACUAAUUUUUCUUUUGACUACAUGUGAAUUCAUGAACUAUAAUUACAACUAAGCAUAAACCAAAGAGCAUGUCAAACUUUCAUCCAUGUUUGUAACUUUCUUUAACGGUCAUGCAAUUAAAAACCAAAUCCUCAUCAUUGUGUUGGAAGGUACUCUAAGACACAAACACACAAAAACAACUUUAAAACAACUCUUUUUGGGUUUUUUUUUUCAAAACUUUUUUAAAUUUUUUCUUGAAUUUUCGGAUUUUCUGGUAAAGCCACAUAAAAACACAUGAAAACAUUCUAAAAACACUUAAAAACAAUGAAAAACAACCUUUGAAAUGUUAGGUGGUAAAAUCCUAUGAAUUUGACACAAAAACACUUUGUUUACCCCCCCCACACUUAAACCAAACAUUGUCCUCAAUGUUUCAAACAUAGACUCACACAAAAACAAGCAAAUAACAAAACUAGCAAAUAAGACAAAUAUGGCAAAGUAAAAGCAAAAAAAAAAAAAAAAAAAAAAAAAAAAAAAAGAGUAGGGUUUAGGAACGCAAAUCUGGUUGUGAUGCCGGAGCUUCCUAGGUCAUCUUUAUUCGCAUGGGUUGCCUCCCACGAAGCGCUUGCUUUAACGUCUUGCAGCUGGACGAUGCUUCUCUUUACGCUCCCCUAGGUCCCAUAGCAUAAAAUUGAUCCUUGAAUGGAAGGUGAUACUUGAAAUGAUCCACCAAAGGUUUCAAUUCUAAAGUGGGUGCC
rnacentral:lncRNA from 1 species